rnacentral:rRNA from 1 species
AUGUGUGUACCAAAAGAUCACUGAGGAAUGGGUUUUCGAGAUAUUCACUGUUUCAACUUGGUUCUGUUAGCCAAACAAGCAUGGCAUGUGGUUGAUAGCCCUGAAUCCCUAUGUGCCACCAUAUUAAGAGCAAAAAUUUCCCAGAUGGCGACUUAAUGAAUGCGAGUCAAAAAAUGAUUUUCCUUUACUUGGCAAAGCAUUAUGGCGGGAGUGGAUUCUCUAAGAUAUGGAUAUAUUUGGAGAGUUGAAAAUGGAUAAAAUAUUGAUAUUUGGAAAUAUGCUUGGAUCCCACACGGGGAAAAUAGGAAAAUUAUUACCCCUAGAAGAGGGCAACUUAUAUUAAAAGUCGUUGAUCUUAGCGAUCGAUUCACCAAUUUAUGGGAUGAAGACUUAGUGAGACAAACUUUGUGGCCAAUCGAUGCUCAAAGGGUGCUCGCCAUCCCCCUCCCUAUGCAUAACAUGUCGGAAUUCAUUGCUUGGAGUUUUAAAAAGAACGGAUGUUUCACAGUUCGCUUGGAUUAUUUGAAGGAAUGGAACAAACCAUAUGGGAGAAAACUGCAACACAUAAAUGGCAUGGGUAGAACAAAUGUCAAUACUAUCUGGAGUAAGAUUUGGAAGUUAUCUUGUCCAACAAAUGUGAAGAUUUUUUCGGCGUACUUUACAUGGAAUCCUUCCUUGUCGUUUUACACUUGCAAAUAG